AAUUCGCCCUUAGAGUUUGAUCCUGGCUCAGGAUGAACGCUGGCGGCGCGCCUAACACAUGCAAGUCGAACGGUGACGAGGACUUCGGUCCUCUGAACAGUGGCGGACGGGUGAGUAACGCGUGAGUAACCUGCCCUUAUGAGUGGAAUAACGUCUGGAAACGGACGCUAAUACCGCAUAACGCAUUCCCUUGGCAUCUAGGGAAUGCCAAAGAUUUAUCGCAUAAGGAUGGACUCGCGUCUGAUUAGAUAGUUGGUGAGGUAACGGCCCACCAAGUCGACGAUCAGUAGCCGGACUGAGAGGUUGAACGGCCACAUUGGAACUGAGAAACGGUCCAGACUCCUACGGGAGGCAGCAGUGGGGAAUAUUGGGCAAUGGAGGCAACUCUGACCCAGCGACGCCGCGUGAGCGAUGAAGGUCUUCGGAUUGUAAAGCUCUGUUGAUAGGGACGAAGAAGUGACGGUACCUAUCGAGGAAGCCACGGCUAACUACGUGCCAGCAGCCGCGGUAAUACGUAGGUGGCAAGCGUUAUCCGGAUUUACUGGGUGUAAAGGGUGUGUAGGCGGGGAAGUAAGUCAGAUGUGAAAUCUAUGGGCUCAACUCAUAGACUGCGUCUGAAACUGCUACUCUUGAGAGUCGGAGGGGUAAUUAGAAUUCCCGGUGUAGCGGUGAAAUGCGUAGAUAUCGGGAGGAAUACCGGUGGCGAAGGCGGAUUACUGGACGACAACUGACGCUGAGACACGAAAGUGUGGGGAGCAAACAGGAUUAGAUACCCUGGUAGUCCACACUGUAAACGAUGAUGACUCGCUGUCGGCGAUACAAUGUCGGUGGUCAAGAGAAAUCGAUAAGUCAUCCACCUGGGGAGUACGACCGCAAGGUUGAAACUCAAAGGAAUUGACGGGGGCCCGCACAAGCGGAGGAACAUGUGGUUUAAUUCGAUGAUACGCGAGGAACCUUACCCGGGCUCGAACGGCUGGUGAACGACUCAGAGAUGAGAAGGCUCUACGGAGCGCCAGUCGAGGUGCUGCAUGGUUGUCGUCAGCUCGUGCCGUGAGGUGUCGGCUUAAGUGCCAUAACGAGCGCAACCCUUGCCGUUAGUUGCCAUCAGGUUAAGCUGGGGACUCUAGCGGGACUGCCACCGCAAGGUGUGAGGAAGGGGGGGAUGACGUCAAAUCAGCACGGCCCUUACGUCCGGGGCGACACACGUGUUACAAUGGCGGCUACAGAGGGAUGCUACCUGGCGACAGGAUGCUGAUCUGGAAAAGCCGUCCCAGUUCGGAUUGGAGUCUGCAACCCGACUCCAUGAAGUGGGAUUCGCUAGUAAUCGCGCAUCAGCCAUGGCGCGGUGAAUACGUUCCCGGGCCUUGCACACACCGCCCGUCA
rnacentral:rRNA from 1 species